UUGUCUCACCUGCAUAGCAGAGUGAGACUAUAGGCGCCGCUUUUCCGACGGCGACGGCGGCGGCGGCGUCAACACCAAAUCUUAACCUGAGGUUAAGUUUUUGAAAUGACAGCAUAACUUAGAAAGUAUAUGGACCUAGUUCAUGAAACUUGGCCAUAAGGUUAAUCAAGUAUUACUGAACAUCCUGCCUGAGUUUCAUGUCACAUGACCAAGGUCAAAGGUCAUUUAGGGUCAAUGAACUUAGACCAUGUUGGGGGAAUCAACAUCAAAAUCUUAACCUAAGGUUAAGUUUUUGAAAUGUCAUCAUAACUUAGAAAAUAUAUGGACCUAGUUCAUGAAACUUAUACAUAAGGUUAAUCAAGUAUCACUGAACAUCCUGCAUGAGUUUCACGUCACAUGACCAAGGUCAAAGGUCAUUUAGGGUCAAUGAACUUUGGCCAAAUUGGGGGUAUCUGUUGAAUUACCAUCAUAACUUUGAAAGUUUAUGGAUCUGAUUCAUGAAACUUGGACAUAAUAGUAAUCAAGUAUUACUGAACAUCCUGUGCAAGUUUCAGGUCACAUGAUCAAGGUCAAAGGUCAUUUAGGGUUAAUGAACUUUGGCCAAAUUGGGGUAUUUGUUGAAUUACAGCCAUAAAUUUGAAAGUGUGUUGGUCUAGUUCAUAAAACUUGGACAUAAGAGUAAUCAGGUAUCACUGAACAUCCUGUGCGAGUUUCAGGUCACAUGAUCAAGGUCAAAGGUCAUGUAAGGUCAAAGAACUUUGGCCACGUUGCUGGUACAUGUAUUUGUUGAAUUGCCAUCAUAUCUCUUUAAGUGUAUUGGUCUAGUUCAUAAAACGUGGAAAUAAGAGUAACCAAGUAUCACUGAACAUCUUGUGCGAGUCAUAGUAGUUUUCAAAAUCAGCACUGCUGCUAUAUUGAAUCGCGUGAUGCAGGUGAGACGGCCAGAGGCAUUCCACUUGUUACAAAUUAUAAUCUCAGCUUGACUGGCCUAAGAGCUUGUAACUUGUUGAGACACUAAAUGAUUAGAUGUCCGUCCAUCGGAGCUUUUGCAGCUUCAGCCUAGUGAAAAGACACCGAUCCUAAAGGACUUGGGAAAUGGUGAUCUCCUUGAAUCAACAGACUUUAAUAAGUCCAUCCCAUCACAAACCAAUCCAACAUCAUCAGGUGAUCAGGGUAAUCAAUCAGGUGAUCUCAACACCCAGUCAUGUGAUCAGAAGAAAAAACAAAUAGAGGGAGCUCAAGGAACUGACCAAACCCCCAAGCAGUCCCAGGCAACUUAUUUGGAUGACAAUGGACAAGGAACUGGACAGGGUGGAAAUCUUUCAGGUUCUGGGAUCUGCAGAUGCAAGUACUGUGGAUCUCCCUAUGCUAUUCCUCUCAUCUUAGCAAGGCAUCUCAAGUACAAACAUGGUCAUAAUGGUGGUAUUCUGGUACCAGAUUCAUCCCAUUCACGUUUUCUGCAGAUCAUCAAUGGAGAAAUACAAAACCCUUUUGAUAAACCCAAAGAGCCUUCACAUGAUGAAACAGGAAGUGCAAAAAUAGGAAGGAAGACUAAAUAUGUAAUGUAUCUUAGGAAAUCGAGUGAAAAGCAAAAAAGGAAUUCUUACAUCUCCAGACAAUGUGAGAAGGUAAUUAAUCAUCAAGUUGGGGAUGCCAUAGCAGGUGAAAGAAUUCAUACAGGUGAUCAGCGCUAUGUUUGUUAUUAUUGUGACAAAGCAUUCUAUGAAGCAAGUGCUCUCAAAGCCCAUGCACAAAUCCAUUAUGAAGUGCAUGUUUGCGAUUAUUGUGAUAAGACUUUCCAUUUUGCUUCCGCUCUUAAAGCACAUACAUGUAAAAGAAUUCCUACAGGUGAGAAACUCUAUGUAUGUGAUCAUUGUGGUAAGGCAUUUAUUCUACCAUGUCGUCUCCGCGCACAUAAACUAUAUCAUACUAGUGGUAAGGCCUUUGUUUGUGAUUAUUGUAAUAAGGCCUUCCGUACUUCCUCUAAUCUCAAAGCACAUAAACGGAUCCAUACAGGUGAGAAAAAUUAUCUCUGUGAUCAAUGUGGCAAGGCAUUUUAUAGUGCUGGUCAUCUCAUAUCACAUAAAAGAAUUCAUGAUUCUGACAAACCCUAUGUUUGUAUUUAUUGUGGUAAGGCAUUUAAUUAUGCUUGUGAUCUAAAAAUGCAUAAACGAAUCCAUACCGGUGAAAAGAUUUAUGAAUGUCAUUUUUGUGAUGAGGCAUUUCGUCAAAGUAGCACUCUCAAAAAACACAUUACAACUAAGCACAAGUGAGAAGCCCAUUGCAUGUGAGUAGUGCGGUGAAGCUUUUGUUUUCUUGAAAGCAAUCUCAGAAGACGUAUGCAAUUUCAUACAGUUGAGAAGCUCUAACAGUAACAAUAUGGCAGGGCAUUUUGUCAUCAGUAAAAACAUGAACAAAUCCAAACCCAAUAGUCCAAAUUCACAAAGGUAGUUUUGAAAGCCAUCGGUAAAUGGUUUAUGCAAAUUUCCUGUAUAAAUUACAAAUCUACUUGCAAAAGACAAAUUUUCAAUGUCCCAAAUAUACGUCUGUUGCCAUGGUAAAGUACACUUGAGUCCACUGUUUUAAAGGGGAAUCCAACCCAAAUAAAAACUUGUUUUUAUAAGGAAAAGAAAAAUCAGACAAGUUGAUAAGUGAAAGUUUUAACAAUAUUGGACAAACAACAAGAAAGUUAUGAAUUUUUAAAAGUUGUAAAUAUUGGUAAUCACUAUACCCAUGGAGACUUCAAAUUGGCCGCAUAUGUGAUGUCAUAGUGAUGUAAGGCAAGAACUACUCUCCCAUGUACUCCAAUAUACAUUAUGGCUAAAAUGUCAUUUUUUCCAAAAGUUUUAUUUCAAAUUAUAUUUUUCUUUCAUGAGGACAUAAAACAAUAUACUACCUGGGUUGUAGUUAGAUUACUGCCCCAGGGGAAUGGAUACUUAAAAGAAAACCACAAAUCCCUGAUAAUAAAGUACAUGGCCUAUGGGAAAGUUGUCCUUGCCCCUUGUCAUAAUUUACUUACUCAGUUGCCAAUUUGAAAUCUACAUAGUAUUAGUGAUCUCAAUUUUAAAGCAGCUAUAACUUUCUUAUUGCUUGUCUGAUUUCUUUCAAACUUUCACCAUUCUGUUUAAUUUAUUUUUCUUCCUCCCAACACAACAUUUUAUGGCCAAGGCUGGAUUCCCCUUUAACAACAGACAGUUGACUCCUGAAUAAAGUAGCAUAUGUAUGUCUUCAAUGUGCGACAAAAAUUAGAUGCACAUCUUUCCUCACAAAACUUAUUCACAGACGUUUCUGAUGAAUACAGUUUUAACAUUUUUUAAUUUACACGACAUCAGAUAGAAGUGCAUCCUGUGGAAUAGUUUUUUGUGAAUCAGAAAGAAGAAAAAAGCUCUUGUAUUCUUUGUAGUUGAGCAAUAUGCAUGUGAUCAGCAUUGGGAGACAGACCAAUACCGGUGUGUUGGCUCAGUUGGUAGAGCGUCCGUCUCACAAUCAGAAGGUCUGGGGUUCAAACCCCGGCCGCGUCAGACCAAAAGACGUUAAAAAAUGGUAGUUGCUGCUACCUUUUUGCGUUCAACAAUUAAAGGGAUAGAGCCUCGUCGAUCUGCCGCUGCACAGCGGCUGCCGGGCCCCACGAUCAAUUGGGCAAAGCAAAUUUUCGGAGUAUUUCAUUUCAUGUCAAUUUCAAAAAAUGAAUUAUGAAUUUUCAUCAUUUUUCAUAUGUUAGAAUGUGUGAAGAAAAGUAUAUAAUUGUUUGUUUUAAAUUCAUAUUUAAAAAAAAGUUCAUAAAAAAAUUAUGUAAAAAUGGAAAAUAUAGAAAAACAAUUAUACAAAUGCUGUUAAAAUAACUAAAAAAAAUCAUUUUUAAAAAAUUUAAUGCAGUGAAAGAAAAUAUGUCAGUGGCACCACGAAAUUCAUAAACAACAUUCUUAGUAUGAAAAAUGAUUAAAAUAAUUAAAUAUGAUUUUUGGUUAUCGGAUGGAAAAUCUAAAAAAGACAACAUUAUUAUUUUUUUUAUCACCAUUGGAAAGAAUCUUAACACCAGGUCAAGAAAGUGAUUCUUAUUUACGUCAUUUAGGGAAACCAAAUUCAGGAUCUGUUUCUUUCCCCUCAUUACUGAUUAAUGUAUUAUGUAAACCUUCAUGCAAUAUAUAUAAUUUUUGUUUUUAGAUGCCUCAUGAACUUUAACAGUGCAAAUUACUUAGUAUUUUUAAAUCUUGCUUAUAUCCUAUAUCUCUUAAGAAAUUAUCUAAAUUCAAUUUAAUCACACAUUUGCUUUUUCUAUUUUCUAUUUCAUUUGUACAUAUCUUUUAUGUCACUGUAUUUUCUCCCACUUUAAUUUGCUAAAAUUAGGGUCAAUCUUUUAAGUUUCUAAUUUACUUCUUUUGACCCUCCACAUUUUUAUAAUGUAUUUUGUUUUCUAUAUGUUCAUCCUCUGUGUAUACGUUAUAUAUGCUAUGAAUUGAUGUGCUUAUAAAGUAAAUUGUUGCUUUUUCCAAACAUUUUUAUAGGAAUGUGAAAAAUAAACUGAACUUAAUUUUGUGAUAAGACAUAUCUCACAUUCAAUAAUAUAUCAAUAUGUAAUUGAUGUCAGUUUGCAGAGUUUAUCCUACCUUCAUCUUGAGAGUAAAGUCAUCAAUAUAGUUACAUCUGCGCUUUUGUUAUCUGUCAUCAAGUUAUAUAUAAUGGUAUUUAUUUAUUUAUUCAUCAUCGUAAUCUCGAGCAAGCAGAUACAAAAUGAUUUACAAAGUACUGUAUAAAAUGGUUAAAAUACAAAACAUUAUUACAAUACAAGAAAUUCUGAAUUGUAGUAACAAUGUUUACACAAUAGGUGGCCUAUAACAAAUCCCAAAUAUGUAUUACAAUUAAAUAUUAAGAAGUAUAAAUAGAAUGUGCACUUACAAAAGAAAAAUAAAUUGAGAGGGGAAAACAAACGAAUGAUCGAGAAAGAGAGUCGGGAGAAAAACAAUAGGAGAGGGUGAGAGAGAGAGGGAGAGAGAGUGGUACUCAGGGGAGAUAAAACAAGAUGGAGUGUAUGAGAAAGUGUGAGAGAGCGGGUGAAUCAAAUAAAUAGAAAAAAAGGUAGUCAGAGCUAUACAAGGUAUAGGAAGAUAAAGCGAGGGAAGCAGAAAAUUGCGAAUAGAAAACACAAUUCUCACAACUGGUAAUACAAUAUACAUGUCCAUUGGAUGGGUUAACUCGUGCUUACCAGUAAAUGGAUUGUUUCUUUUUAAAUGAAGAUCCAAUUGAUGGGUGAGUGAGUGAGUGAGUACAUUAUAAGGAUCGAGAAAUGUUUGGAUGUAUGUAUAUACUGUAAACUGUCCAAGGGGUUUGAAGUAAGUAAAAUAGUUGUAAACAUUGACUUAUAUUUUUGACAUGUUCAGUUGAUAAAAUACAAACAAAUAACAUAAAUAUAAAUACAAUUUAGCAGAAUCUUAGGAUUCAAGUUAUCAUCAUCUUCAAUAAAUAUGUAUAAUAUGAA